rnacentral:rRNA from 1 species
GAUGAACGCUGGCGGCGUGCCUAAUACAUGCAAGUCGAGCGAACGGACGAGAAGCUUGCUUCUCUGAUGUUAGCGGCGGACGGGUGAGUAACACGUGGAUAACCUACCUAUAAGACUGGGAUAACUUCGGGAAACCGUAGCUAAUACCGGAUAAUGUUUUGAACCGCAUGGUUCAAAAGUGAAAGACGGUCUUGCUGUCACUUAUAGAUGGAUCCGCGCUGCAUUAGCUAGUUGGUAAGGUAACGGCUUACCAAGGCAACGAUGCAUAGCCGACCUGAGAGGGUGAUCGGCCACACGGGAACUGAGACACGGUCCAGACUCCUACGGGAGGCAGCAGUAGGGAAUCUUCCGCAAUGGGCGAAAGCCUGACGGAGCAACGCCGCGUGAGUGAUGAAGGUCUUCGGAUCGUAAAACUCUGUUAUUAGGGAAGAACAUAUGUGUAAGUAACUGUGCACAUCUUGACGGUACCUAAUCAGAAAGCCACGGCUAACUACGUG